UCAUUUAUAUAGUAAUUUGGUCUGAUUAUUUGAAAAACUGCACUUUGCACUUUUUGUCAAGUCUGCAGAUUUCUAUCAGAGCCUGUAUAAGCCAAUUUUGCCCUUACACAAUAUUACCAUUCGAAUUUUCCUUAUCUGUCAGACAAUAACAGCAGAAUCCACCUCCUUCACUUCCAUACUGUUACUAAAAAUUGCAGUUGCUUACGUUCGUUUACGAUUACCAAAAAAAAGUGAUGGUUGCUUUGAUGCCUUCACGGUACAGAAAACGACAGCCGUGAUGGAUUUUUCGAAAAAAUAUCGUAGUUGUGCCGGUGAUGAUUCUUGCGAAGACUCUGCUUACUAAAUAAGCCAAAAACAUUUUCUCCCCUUUUCCGAACGGACAAAAAGAGCUUUGGAUCAGGUUCGUGAUUGGGUACACGGAGUACUCGGCGGAACGGACGGAGACUGGUGGUUGAUGGGGACGAACGCGGAUUCCUUGCUAUAGACCAAGGUUGAAAAUGCCGCAAAAGUUUGCGACAAUCUGUUGGUGCAGUCGGCGGAUUUUGCAAUGGAAAUGACAUCUCGGUACUGGCACCGGUCAACCGACGAAACUAACCUGCACGUGGUCGUUAAGCCUGGUGGCAAGAUGGAGUCAGGGCUCAAACACGAAGAUGAACCAACGACACACGCAGUAUUUGAAUUGAUCGGCUGGGAUCUCGCCAAGGUCUCCCAAGAUAAAUGCAUCAAGCUGAGGGACACUCCGCUAAUCAACACCUCGGUGACGCAGAUUGAUUCAAACAAUCAAGAGAUUGCAAGUGCGAAUCAAGCGCGAGUGUUUCUAAGUUAGCUAUCGGUUCCCUGCGU